rnacentral:rRNA from 1 species
UACGAAGGGGGCUAGCGUUGCUCGGAAUGACUGGGCGUAAAGGGCGCGUAGGCGGAUGGCACAGUCAGAUGUGAAAUUCCCGGGCUUAACCUGGGGGCUGCAUUUGAUACGUGUUGUCUUGAGUUCGGAAGAGGGUCGUGGAAUUCCCAGUGUAGAGGUGAAAUUCGUAGAUAUUGGGAAGAACACCGGUGGCGAAGGCGGCGACCCGGUCCGACACUGACGCUGAGGCGCGAAAGCGUGGGGAGCAAACAGG